rnacentral:lncRNA from 1 species
AGAGGAAAUGCGGGGUUUAUUGCGUAAAGGAUUUAUAUUUAUUAAUCAAGGAUACAAGGCAAAACGAACACUAUUAAAAUUAAGCAAAAUGUUGACAGUUGAUGUGAACUAUUAUUUCAGCUUGGUGAGAAAAAUCUAGCUAGAGUUAAGGUAAGUUCCAUUAAAUUCAUAAAGAAAAUACAAUAGUUCUGAUACCAUUAAAGUAAUAAUAACCUUUGAAAUAACAAAGUAUAACCAGUAUAAAUGCCUUAGUUUGGAGACAAAAAUACAUACAUUGUGUGCUGGAAGCUGAUGUGUCACAGAACAUGGGUAAUGGUUUGUAGUCUUACUGCUUUACAACCAAAGCCUGAGAUGGUUACCACCACCCAGGAAAGCUAAUGAUAGGCACCAUCUGAUGACGAGCUGGAAGGAAAUUACACGAUAUGACUCUGCCUAUCAGCAGAGACUAAUGAAGCAUUUUUCUUCUUGGUGCAGAUUUAUACAAUCAAGCCUCAGGGAGGCCAAUUUUCUAUCAUACAACAUCAACAGCAAAUUCAUAGGGGUUAAAUUUCCAUCACCACUGUAUCAAAACAGAAAAUUCACAGCACUUUUCACAGUUGCCACACUGAGAAAUGAAAUUCAAGGGAAACAUGGUAUUUCAUUUACAAUUUACUAGCUCUUCCAGUGUUUCAGAGAUACAGGGAUAUAGGAAUAGGACAGAAAGUGGACAUAGAACACAACAAUACACAAAUAUCUUGAUUGAAUCAGUCUACUGCUGUAGUUUUUCAAGCUAAUCAGAUGUCUGUCUCCAGCCAGGCGAUGUUAAAGCUCACAAAUAACCUUAGUGUCCAAAAAUUAGAGAAAAAUGGUUAAUUUACUUGUUACCUAAUUUCAUCAUCAGCAUUUGCUUACACCCUGCUGUAUUCCCACUAAUGAAGACCUCCCCAUUUGCUCCCAGGCUAUGCCCCAAUUAAAAUAUAACAGGUACACUAGAGAUUAAUUCAGCCAGUAACAAUUGCCUCCCACAUCUGCUUUCUGGUUUAAUCCAGAUGAAAUUAAUCCACCCAAAUCUAUUCUACCAAAAGUACUUUUCUACCAAGCAACACUCUUAAGCACUGAUUAAGACUGUU